AAAGAAGGAAAAAAAGAAAGAAGAAAUUUCUGUUUUUUAGAAGCACUGCUCUGUGGUAUUUUGUUAUAGCAGCCUGAACAGACAAAACCACCAUGCUGCCUCCCUGGCCUAUAAUACAGCUCUCUCCUGGAGCUCUGUGAUAUUGUGGUUUAUAUUAAGAAAUAUAUAUUUGGUCCUCCUCCCUGGUUCCUGGCAAAUAACUCCUAAAACCUUUGUAAUUUCUUAAGUGAUAAGAGUUAUAGGGGCAUCUCUCUUUCUCAGUUCUGAAAUAGCUCCAGAAUGAAAUGGAUGUCUUUUGUUAUUCAUAACAAGCCCCUUUCAACCACAUCUGAAUUUAUAUUAAUACAAUGACUUUUGGAAAGUCCCUAAGGAUACUGGGGGCUGGUUGCCAGGGGAACCAACUGUGUGAUUAGAGGGUUGGAACUUUCAGUCCCACCCCACUCUGACCUCUGGUGAGGGGAGAGGAACUACAGGUUGACUCAAUGGCCAAUGAUUUAAUCAAACAUGCAUUCUUAAUGAAGCCUGCAUAAAAACCCAAAAAGGAUGGAUUUGGAGAGCUUCCAGCCCAUUUGCCAGACGUUCUGGUUUACGUCUACAAACCUCUGCCUCAGGGCCAUGCCCUCACAGUUACAGUCAGGAGUGCAGUCUCCUGCCACAUCCAGGUUGAUCUCCUGGAACCAUCUCUGAUACCAACAAAGAAGUUCAGUGUUCUCCAUGUUUAGGCACCCUAUUCAGAGUGGAUUCUUUCAAAACAACAAAAAAAGAAAAACCUAAUGGUGCUAAUGUACAAGUAGUUUCUGAAGCUGAAAAUAUUGGUGUUUUUUUAAAUUGCUAAAAAAAAUUUUUUUAGCAAGAGAGAGAGCAUGUGCAUGUGAGAGUGGGGGAGAGGGGCAGAAGGAGAGAGAAAGAAUCCCAAGCAGUUUCUGUGUUCAGCACAGAGGCCAAUGCGGGACUCAAUCCCAUGACCCUGGGAUCAUGACCUGAGCCGAAAUCAAGAGUCGGACACUCAACCAACUGAGUGACCAGGCGCCCUUGAAAAUAUUAAGUGUUUUUGAUAUUUUAUUCUUUUCUCCUGGGUUCCAUGUUCAAACAGUGGCAACUUGUAUUGAAUAAAUAUAAUAUCUUUAUGGUGUCUCUCUCA